rnacentral:rRNA from 1 species
UACGUAGGGGGCAAGCGUUGUCCGGAAUCAUUGGGCGUAAAGAGCGUGUAGGCGGCCUGGUAAGUCCGCUGUGAAAGUCCAGGGCUCAACCCUGGAAUGCCGGUGGAAACUGUCAGGCUCGAGUCCGGAAGAGGCGAGUGGAAUUCCUGGUGUAGCGGUGAAAUGCGUAGAGAUGUGGAGGAACACCAGUGGCGAAGGCGGGUCUCUGGACAGUUCCUGACGCUGAGGCACGAAGGUCAGGGGAGCAAACGGG